AACGAACGCUGGCGGCAUGCCUAACACAUGCAAGUCGAACGAGACCUUCGGGUCUAGUGGCGCACGGGUGCGUAACGCGUGGGAACCUGCCCUUAGGUUCGGAAUAACUCCCCGAAAGGGGUGCUAAUACCGGAUAAUGUCUUCGGACCAAAGAUUUAUCGCCUUUGGAUGGGCCCGCGUUGGAUUAGCUAGUUGGUAGGGUAAAAGCCUACCAAGGCGACGAUCCAUAGCUGGUCUGAGAGGAUGAUCAGCCACACUGGGACUGGGACACGGCCCAGACUCCUACGGAGGCAGGAGGGGGGAAUAUUGGACAAUGGGCGAAAGCCUGAUCCAGCAAUGCCGCGUGAGUGAUGAAGGCCUUAGGGUUGUAAAGCUCUUUUACCCGGGAUGAUAAUGACAGUACCGGGAGAAUAAGCUCCGGCUAACUCCGUG
rnacentral:rRNA from 1 species